ensembl:rRNA 5S_rRNA 5S ribosomal RNA
GUCUACAGCCCACCACCCUGAAUGUUCCCGAUAUUGUCUGAUCUGAAGUUAAGCAGGGCCGGGCCUGGUUAGUACUAUAAUGGGAGAAAAUGACCCAACUUUUAAAGCUGAAGUUC